ensembl:snRNA U6 U6 spliceosomal RNA
GUGCUCGCUUCGGCAGCACAUAUACUAAAAUUGGAACAAUACAGAGAAGGUUCGUAUGGCCCCUGCACAAGGAUGACAUGCAAAUUCCUGAAGCAUUCCAUAUUUAA